UACGAAGGUCCCAAGCGUUAUCCGGAUUUAUUGGGUUUAAAGGGUGCGUAGGCGGCUUAUUAAGUCAGUGGUGAAAGCUCCAUGCUUAACGUGGAGAUUGCCAUUGAUACUGAUGAGCUUGAGUAGAUUUGAAGUGGGCGGAAUGUGUCGUGUAGCGGUGAAAUGCUUAGAUAUGACACAGAACACCGAUUGCGUAGGCAGCUCACUAAACUCUUACUGACGCUGAGGCACGAAAGCAUGGGGAUCAAACAGG
rnacentral:rRNA from 1 species